rnacentral:tRNA from 1 species
GCAUUGGUGGUUCAGUGGUAGAAUUCUUACCUUCCAUUCGGGAGACCAGGUUCAAUUACCAGCCAAUGCU